rnacentral:SRP_RNA from 2 species
GCUGGGCGUGGUGGCGCAUGCCUGUAGUCCCAGCUACUCGGGAGGCUGAGGCAGGAGAAUCGCUUGAACCCAGGUUGCUUGCUGCAACCUCCACCAUUGUACUCCAGCCUGGGCAACAGAGUGGUACUCUGCCUCAA